rnacentral:lncRNA from 1 species
UUGUUGUCAACUUAAUUAUUAAAAAGUGUGCAAAAUUUGAAUUAAAAUCAAUGGUUUGUUCAUUAGUUAUUAAGGUUUAAAUCUAUUAUAGGAAUAACUUGGAAUUGGUUAGGAUUUAAUUUAAGAUUUGGUUUAGGAUUAGGGUUAGGUUUUUGGAUUGAUUUAAAGUUUGAUUAGGAUUAAGAUUUGUUUAAGAUUUGAUUAAGGUUUGAUUAGAAUUUUUCUAGGAUUUUAUUAAGAUUUAUUUAGAAUUUGACUAGGAUUUAUUUAGAGUUUGAUUUGGAUUUGGUUGUGAUUUAAUUAGGAUUUGACUAGGAUUUGGUUAAGAUUUAUUUAGGAUUUGACUAAAAUUUGACUAAAAUUUGACCAAGGUUUGACUAGGUUUUGAUAAGGUUUUUAUUAGGAUUUAAUUAAGAUUUUUAUUUUAAUAUUUUAUUAAGAUUUCUAUUUUAGUAUAUGUAUAUAUA